rnacentral:misc_RNA from 1 species
AAGUCGUAACAAGGUUUCCGUAGGUGAACCUGCGGAAGGAUCAUUAACCCCUGUGAACCUUCAGUCGUACUCGUACGUCCGUUAGAAAAAGCAGCAAUCCCUGGUAAAUCAUCGCCGAACAGUUUUCGAUUCAGGGACGUCUGCAAGGAGCGUGCAUGUUGUGCGUGUAAGUGGCCUGGCAUCCCCAAGCAGUUAGUGUCUGAAAGUGUCACUAACGUUAGUGUCUGAAAGUGUCACUAACAUGUGUAAGGAUGACGCAGUCACGAUCGUUGGAGGCCCACACGGCCGACGACCGGGUCACUGGGUGCAAGCCCCCUUAUCACACCCCUGCUCUAUCUAUGGUGAUCCUGCGGGAAGUCCUGCGGUCGAACGCCGAAACCGAACAACUGUUAACAAUGGAUAUCUUGGUUCUC